UACAUAGGGGGCGAGCGUUGUCCGGAAUGACUGGGCGUAAAGGGAGUGUAGGCGGUUAUGCAAGUUACAUGUGAAAGCCCGAGGCUUAACCUCGGAACUGCAUGUAAAACUACAUAACUUGAGUGUGGGAGAGGAAAGUGGAAUUCCUAGUGUAGCGGUGGAAUGCGUAGAUAUUAGGAGGAACACCAGCGGCGAAGGCGGCUUUCUGGACCAUAACUGACGCUGAGGCUCGAAAGCGUGGGGAGCAAACAGG
rnacentral:rRNA from 1 species